CCUUCCCUCUGCGAGAACUCCAAAACCUACCUCAAAACUCAUCUCCACCGAAACUCCACAAAAACCCAUCUCCGCUGAAACAUUCCUCCAUGCCUCCUCCACCACUUUACUGCGAUGCCCGCGACCUUGCCUCCUCCACCACUCCUCGCCGCCAGCGACCUAGUUUUCUCCGCCACUCCUCUACGCUGACCAUGACCUAGCUUCCUUCUCACAAAGGGUUACAAGAGGUUUCGCCGUUCCUAACCGCGAAGCCGUCCUUUGCACAAAGGGGUCUCGACAUUCCUCACAUAGACGCUGUUCCUCACCGCGACGCUGUGCUUCACACAAAGGGGUCUUGCCGGUAAUUAAGAAGCUCUUCAAUACAAGAAUAGAUGUCUGCUUUUCCUUUUCUUGUUGAGAUUUGGGCUUGUUGUUUUGGAUCUGUGUCAUAACUGGCACAGUUAGCUAAUUCAAUUAUUGUUUGUCUUCCUCCUCAUCUCCAUUGGCCAGGUCGCCCCUUUUCUUCUCUUGUUUGUGGCUUUUCACUUGCCUUGUUUGAAUUCUUUUGCUUGCCAAAUGAUCUAGAGAUUCUUGAUUGCCCGAGGAGUGAGCUAUAUCCCCCUGCCAAAGAAGAGAUCGCCUAGCGAUGCACCUUUCACACUUGUUAUUCUAUCUGAAUCUAAAGCAUGCCUCGAGAAAGUUCUGGGUAGUCAUUUACUAUUUAACGCUUCUCCGACUGUCUACGACCAUUUGAUAUCUAGGGUAUAAUUCUCACACUUAAAGUGGCCUUGCAAUUGCAUUCAUGUCCUACUAGUAAGGCUUCUUUACUAUGCAGAUUAUUCCCAUUUUUUCUUUUUCAAAUUUAGUUUCUGGCGAGGAAUGACGUACGAUUUAGUUGUUGAAAUUUAUUGCUGGAGUUCAUUGCACAGAACUACAUUCAUAGAACACAAGUGGAUCUAUAAGUCAUUUUGACCCAUUCUACAUUCAGAGAGUUAAUCUAUGUUAAGUAGGCAAAGUGUUUGUGGUAAGUGUUGGUUUUUUUCAUUACAUUAUUAUGCUAAUGGUUAUGAAAAUCAUGCUUUGAAGUUGUACUUGCUCUAGUUAUUCUAAUUCUUGUAUCCAAAUAUUUUACUUGUCAGUAGCAUUCUUCUUUUGAAUAACAUGAAUCUUGAGAUAAAUCUAUGUUGCAACAUGAUGUGUGCACAAAAAUUGUUGAUUUGUUUCCUGAAUGACUAUGCUUGAUUUGGCCUUUAGCUUACCCUUGCAAUCUAAUGCCAAUUAUAAUAGGUAGCAUUGAUAUAGUGAAACUGAGAAGUACAACCGUUGAUUAUUUUGAUUUGGAUAUUCGACGAACACUAUUCUAAGUUUGUUGCUCUAGAAAUAAGGAUAAAUGGAACUCACUUAAAGCAAAAUGGGGGGAAACAAUCUAAUCUAAUUUCCUCUUCAACUUACUUGUCGCUAUUAGUUGGAAGUUAAUGUUAGGAAAGAAACCACAAGCUAGGAAGCUUUUUCGGGGAGAAAUCCUUAUGAUUUGAUUCUGGGUUUUUAAUUUAUGGGAAAUGACCUUCGUGCAUUUAUUCAUUUAAAUACUUCUCUUAGUGCAUCACAUUUGAACAUUUAUGUCAGUAUAUCCCUCUUCCAACAAAUUUAAAAUUAUGUAUUUAACUAUAUGUUGCACAGUAGUUGUCCAAGAAGGUAAGAAUUUAUUCCUUGACAUUAUUUUCAUUAUCUAAGAUAUUCUCUCCUUUACUUUGACAUUUCUAUUCUGAUACAUUAUUUGUUAUCAUAUUCUAAUUGGUUAGCCUCAUGUUUUAAACUCUGCUGACACAAUUGUCAGUUGCUAUUGUGCUAAUUUUGAAUAGAUAUUAUUAUUUAAUGACAACAUAUUAACUUGUAAAUUGUAGAUAUUUUAUCAUAUUCCACCAAAUUAUUUAUAUAUAUUAAUUUUGUCAGUUGCUAUUCUGCUCAUGGUAAGAAAUAGUUGCUCAUAUUAUUUUUUUAUAGUAUUAUAUGCUAUGUGCACUUCUAAAAUCUAGAGUUGAAUCACCAGACUUCCUUGAAAAGCAUGAACACAUCCAAACAUCUGUUUACCAAAAUAUUCAUGGUGAUGAUAAUGCAUCAUGGGAUGUGGUCACUGCUAAAGAUUUGUGGGAUGAUAAGCAUUUUGAUGGGAAGGAUGACGUUAACCAAGAUGAUUAUGUACUUGUUAAGUAAGAGGACAUAGUGGAUGGCGUGGCAUGCUUCAUGGCUACUUAUCUGCUAUCGCUAAAGCAAACUAAAGUAUGCCUAGAUGGAAAUCUUAUAAAAAAAUUAUUUUAUUUGUAUUGCUUAGUAAUAGUUUUCAUUUUUAACUAUUUGAACAACUUUAUGAUGGAGUCCGCUCAUUGCUACUGUUUGGUAUUGCAGGAAUUAACUCCAAAUCUUAUGACAGAAAAAAUAUACAAAUGAUGUUGCUAGAUUUCUUAUGUCCUCAGAAACUUGUUUACAUAUACAUGGAAACAGAUCUUAUGUUAGCAUACAUAAAACUAUAUGAGAGAUUCUUUUUAUUUCCAAUCACAGGAACCAAGCUAGAUAUUUCAAAGGAUUCUCAUGAACCUCGUUGGCAUUGCAGAUAGUCAACAAGUUCCAAUCAUGAUCAUUGUGAUCAAUUACAAGAAUUCUCCUUCCUAACUUAGAAAGUAUUUUUUGGUAGAGAGCAGAAUCUAAAAAAUCUUGAUGAAUGUAGAAAGAAACUGAAAGUGGAGUUUUUUUUGCUAAGAAGGGUACUCAUAUUUUCCAAGAAGAUGUAAUAUUAUCAGAGAGAUUCAAUCCAAGAAGAGUUUUUUACUUUUGUAUAGACUUAACAUUGAUCCAAAGUUUGUAGAUUAUGUAUACAUAUUUUAUGUUUGAAUUGCAUGACACAUUUCUAGUUUGGUUA